UCAACCAUAGUGUGCUNUGGAAACUGUCUGACUUGAGUGCAGAAGGGGAGAGUGGAAUUCCAUGUGUAGCGGUGAAAUGCGUAGAUAUAUGGAGGANCACCAGUGGCGAAAGCGGCUCUCUGNUCUGUCACUGACGCUGAGGCUNGAAAGCGUGGGUAGCGAACAGGAUUAGAUACCCUGGUAGUNCACGCCGUAAACGAUGAGUGCUAGGUGUUAGGCCCUUUCCGGGGCUUAGUGCCGGAGCUAACGCAAUAAGCACUCCGCCUGGGGAGUACGACCGCAAGGUUGAAACUCAAAGGAAUUGACGGGGGCCCGCACAAGCGGUGGAGCAUGUGGUUUAAUUCGAAGCAACGCGAAGAACCUUACCAGGUCUUGACAUCCCGAUGCUAUUCUCAGAGAUAGGAAGUUACUUCGGUACAUCGGAGACAGGUGGUGCAUGGUUGUCGUCAGCUCGUGUCGUGAGAUGUUGGGUUAAGNCCCGCAACGAGCGCAACCCUUAUUGUUAGUUGCCAUCAUUAAGUUGGGCACUCUAGCGAGACUGCCGGUAAUAAACCGGAGGAAGGUGGGGAUGACGUCAAAUCAUCAUGCCCCUUAUGACCUGGGCUACACACGUGCUACAAUGGUCGGUACAACGAGUUGCGAGCCGGUGACGGCAAGCUAAUCUCUGAAAGCCGAUCUCAGUUCGGAUUGGAGGCUGCAACU
rnacentral:rRNA from 1 species